UUUUUUGCAGAAACGUUUCAGAUU
rnacentral:miRNA from 1 species